rnacentral:lncRNA from 1 species
AGAGAGAGAGAGAUGCUCUCUCAGGCCACAAGUCCGGCCAUGGAUUCCGGCGCGCCUCCGCUGUAGCACCGCUGCGGGCUUGAAGCCGAUUGCUUCUAGGUCAUGGAUCCAGGGCCGAAUCCCGUGAAAGAAAAAGCCAAAGGCCCGGAAACAAGGCGAGAUCGCUCGCCUUCUCCUCCUCCGGCGUAGCGCAAGUAAGGAUUUUCCUUUUCUUUUUGUUUUCUUUUCUUUUUAGUAUGAACAAUAAAGAAAAACAAAAAUAAAAAAAAUGAGCAGAAUACAAGAAAUACGAAGAGAAAAAAAAACCUUUUUAAGAAAUCUUUUUCUUUUAUUUCUCUUUAAUGUUCGUGAAAAAAAAAUCCCCCUUACAUUUGUUUGAUUCGACUUUUAUAGCUGUUUUGGAUUACAGUGCAUGCUACUGUUCUAUACUGUUAUUUCCUUUUCUUCCACUGUUCUUGUUUCUAUUUUGUGUCAUUUGCAGGUCUUGGGCAAGUUUAUCAGAGGAGACUUACCAUCUUGGUGCAAAAAAGGGAUUGCUUCGAGCGGUGUGGGUGCCGAGGGCACACAUAGGGUAGGCUGCAACAGAUGUACGGCGGCACAUGGGAGCAGGUGGAUGUGGCGCCCUAGAGUUAGAGAUUAGGGUUUUUUUUCCUGAAAUGUUUUAGGUGAUUGGGCCAUUGGGCUUGUUGUUUUUUGGGUUUAAUUUAGUUUGUUGGGCUGGGGUCAAAAUGGGCCGUACAAUUACGAGAAGAU